rnacentral:rRNA from 1 species
UACGUAGGGUGCAAGCGUUGUCCGGAAUUAUUGGGCGUAAAGCGCGCGCAGGCGGUUAUUUAAGUCUGGUGUUUAAACCCUGGGCUCAACCUGGGGUCGCACUGGAAACUGGGUAACUUGAGUACAGAAGAGGAAAGUGGAAUUCCACGUGUAGCGGUGAAAUGCGUAGAGAUGUGGAGGAACACCAGUGGCGAAGGCGACUUUCUGGGCUGUAACUGACGCUGAGGCGCGAAAGCGUGGGGAGCAAACAGG